rnacentral:lncRNA from 1 species
GAUAACGUCACAUACUUACGUCAGUACUUUCGCCAAUUUAUAUAAAAACGUUCACCACGGCCCCUAGGAGUGUUUCAGAUGUACGUACUAAACUAUUAUGAAGUAGCAUUCAGCACUAAUGCUUCACACUUCUAACAAAAAAUGCGUAAUUUCAGCGCAGCUGGAAAUACAUGCGUAGAAUGAUACUUAAAACCUAAUGAAGUACGUUUUAAUGAGAACGGUGUGAGUUUGUCGUCGGCAAAGUCAGAUCCACAUACCCUUAGAAUUUCCUCAAGAGGGCGCUCUAACUUUACGAACCUCAUUGAACUUCACAGCAAUCCAGCUACUGCACUGAGCCAGGAUUGUACUGCACUAAAUUUGCAGAAGAUCGCAAUGUCCCUGGAAGAGUGCCUGACAUCUGUUGAACGAACCACCAUGGUGCAGGAGAGUAGGGAUGGCUUUGGUGAAGCCGUUGUUCACCCAGCCACUCAGCAAAAAAGACCAGCGGUAAGAUCACCACUAAUGCCCACCCUACACCCCCCUACUUCCUCAAUGUACAACCUACUGUAGUGUGUUAGUUACACCUAGCUCCCUU